GACGUAGGGCGCGAGCGUUGUCCGGAUUUAUUGGGCGUAAAGAGCUCGUAGGCGGCUUGUCGCGUCGUCCGUGAAAACCCACAGCUCAACUGUGGGCUUGCGGUCGAUACGGGCAGGCUAGAGUUCGGUAGGGGAGACUGGAAUUCCUGGUGUAGCGGUGAAAUGCGCAGAUAUCGGGAGGAACACCAAUGGCGAAGGCAGGUCUCUGGGCCACUACUGACGCUGAGAAGCGAAAGCAUGGGGAGCGAACAGG
rnacentral:rRNA from 1 species